rnacentral:lncRNA from 1 species
GGCGGCGCUGCAGCGGGCGGCGCGGGGCCGGAGUCCUGGUGAGGGCCCCCUCCGUGGCCGAGGGCGCCCUCGCUGCCCUGGCACACGAGCUUGUGCUUCUUCCAGUCCUGGCGCUGGCGCUCCUUGCAGCAGAAGGAGCUGCGGCUGCAGCGCAGCAGGUUCUCCAUCUUCCCGCACAGCUCGCAGUACUGCCGGUCUCGCUCGCUCGAGCUCGGCUCGCCGGGCCCGCAGCUGUCAUUGGCCAUGGCGACCGCAGCUGAGCAGGAGGGGUGCGGCCGGACGGCCUCGCCCGAGGCUGGGGAGCGGAGAGAGAGAUAGGGGCCGUCACUGCGCCAUGCACCCGCUACCCUUGACUCAAGGAGGCUGGCACCCAGGGCCCUCGGCCGGGUCGCUUCCGAGUCCUAGGCUCCGGCGCAGCGCAGGCGGCCGCCUCAGCGCCUAAUCGCCGCCGUGGGCUGAGAGAACGCGGCCUGUGCGGCGAACGGCAACCCGGGCUCGGGCGCGCGAGCCUGCGGAGCGCAAGACCGGCCCCCUCGGCUGCCGCCACCGCCUCAGCGUCCCGGGCGGCCCGGCCCAGGCUGCGGAGGAGCGCAGGGUUCUUUCUGCAAGUCUUCCACCAGGGCCACUGCCUCCUCUCCACUCUCCGGAUGCUGCUGUCUGACCCAGAUCUGGAUCUCCUGGAGAAGGACAGUCGGGAACUGUUCUAGGACCAGCAACUCCAGGAUCUGCUCUUUUGUACACUUCUCUGGCCUUAGCCACUGACAACAGAGCUUCUGGAGCUGGAGGAGGGCCUCUCGGGGUCGUGAUGCUUCUUGGUAACGGAAAUGCCAAAAGCUCUGGCAGGAUGUCUCUGGUCCAGGGUAAUUCCCUUGAAGGGAAAUUUCCUGCUCCCAGUGGGAAUCUUCUUCCAGUUUAACUAUUUGGAGAUCUUGUACUGAAGGAGUCUGGAUUUGUUGGUCCACAGCUACAGCCAUUGUUCAGGUCAGAGAAGAGCUUUGCAACCGCACUCUAAAGCUCAAACCUCUUCAUCACCUCACUGGGAAGCCAUCUUAGAACUUCCACUUAGGAGUCACUAAGUGGAACUUCUCUUGAAAUUCUAGAGUCAGAGACAUACAUUACAAAGUUAACUCUAGUAAAAAUCGCAAGUGUUAGCCCAGCAGGCUUGAGGUGAAGAAGAGAGCCUUCCUGUCCCAGCCCUGUUGCAUGCCCUGGUGCCUGUGGAGUCACUGGUGGGGUGGCAGUUCCGGAAGUUUGAUAAGAGGAGUCAAGGGCUAGUGACCUGGUUGAAAAGUAGAGGAGCUUGAAGCUGAGAGAAUACGGACGAUUCGGCCCCGUGACAUGUUCUUAGCGGGGACGCAAGAAGCCCGAGCCCAGGUCCCAAACACGGCUAUUCGGCUAGCCACUGAGCACCGGAAGCGGAAAACCUAGCCCCAGAAGGACUCCGUGUUCUCCGGAACUACAUUUCCCAGAGGCCGCCGCCCGAAGACAGACAGCAGCGUUAGCCCAUAAAAUGGGAGAAUAUCUCAGGCGCCUAUUCGUUUCAGACGAAUCAUUGAUGACAGGGUCUCUCUCUGUUGCCCGGCUGGAUUCUGGGCCUGAUCAUCGCUCACUGCAGCCCUGGCC